GCCUAGUUAGCUUAGUUGGUAGUGCGUCUGCCGCACUAGGCCGCGGGUUCGAUUCCCGCCCGGGGCG
rnacentral:tRNA from 1 species